GUGUGUGUGUGACCUUGGUUCUGGGCGACCAAAGGAGGAACAACACAGUUUUUAAUCGGAUUUUGAACCUUUGAUCUGGACCGUUUCCACCUUUCUUCUCCAAAGUUGUCCAUCCCCGGUGUGUGCAGCUGGAGGGAUGCUCCCGCCAGCGCUCAGAGGGACAAACCCAGAGCAGAGAGACACCAAGAGGGACAAACACAAUGGGUUCUGAACGGAUCAGGCAUCAUCUCUGCUAAGGAAGCAGCUCAGAGAUUGGUCGUGACAUACCCUGGGCUGAUUCCAUUGAAAGCCUCUUUUCAAAAGGAAACAUUUGCCAUCUUACUCCCAGCUUUGAUUUGCCUGUCCCUGCUCACUCACCAGGGCUUGUUCUGCAACAUUAAUAGGAAAGUUUCUUUGCACAGAGCCAACCAGCAAC